AUCUGAACUUGGGAGUGCUUCCUUGAGGGUCUGAGGUGGCAGCAGAGAGCUGCAGCGCUCCCGAGUGCUGUAAGGACUGCACGGAGAGAUGUGCGGGUCUUCACGGGAACAGCCAGGAACCGAAAGCUGCAUUUCCCGGGAUGCCCUGGAGCUCCACUUUGCUGACUGGUAAUUGUCUGCCCAGCAGGUAAGGACAAUCCACUCCCACCAGUGUUUACCCCUUACUGAGUGAGACACAAGGUAGGGUUCCCAGAGCUCCUUUCUGCACUUCAGGGUUCCCCGAAGGCUGCCCGUCCUAUUCUUUGCACGUUCUCCUUGGCUCUGGCCUUUCACUGCGGUGUUCUCCUUCCCUUUGCCCUUGGCGUUCCUUACUGCAUUCUCUUGUCCUCUUGCUUUUGCAUUCCUUGUCAUGUUCUCUUGGCCAUUGCCCUUGACUUUCUUGGCCACAUUCACUUCAACAUUCAGUUUUGGCGUUCCCUGCAGUGCUCUCUUGCCCUUCUGUUUUCGUGUUUCUUGUCGUGUUCUCUUGGCCAUUUCCUUGGCAUUUCCUUCCACAUUCUCUUGGCCCUUACCUAGGCGUUCCCUUGCCCUCCUGUUCUUGCGUUCCAUGCCACAUUCUCUUGACUAUUGAACUUCUUUUUCUUCUGCCACGUUCUCUUCAGCAUUCAGUUUUGGCGUUCCCUGCAGUGUUCUCUUGCCCUCCUGUUUGGGCAUUUCCUGCGGCGUUCUCUUUGGCAUCAUGUUCUGGUGUUCCCAGCCACCUUCUCUCAGCGUUCUGCUUUGGCCUUCUUUGCCGUGUUCUCUUUGGCCUCCUGUUUUGGCACUUCCUGCCACGUUCUCUUAGCCCUUGCCCUGACCUGAGCAUUCCAUGCCGUGUUCCCUUGGCCUUCUGUUUUGGCAUUUUUUGCUGUCUUCUCUUGGCCUUUGCCCUUGGUUUUUCCUGCUGCUGUCUGCUCGCCCUCACCUUGGCUUUCCGUUGGGUGCUCUCCUUGCUUUUGCCCUUCCCUUCGCCUUGGCUGUUUGCUUUGCCUUUACCUUGGUUUUCCGUGGGAGUUCUGCUUGCCUUUUUUCUUUGGCUCUCUGGGAUUGGCUGGGAGGCAGCGUGAAUGUUAAUCUUGACCUGAACCCGUAGCUUAAUGUGAGCUCUAAUGAUAAUUAUGUUAACCCACAGUGUAUAUGUAAGCCGAACUAUUAAGCCAAUAUUAAAAACGUCUCUUAACCUAAAUGCUGCAAUAAAAAUAAUGCCGCUUGUUUUCUGUCACAGUACCCUUAAUCCUAAUCAUAGUGUGGAAAACAAUUGUUAAGCUAAUUGUCACUUCAAACCUAUGCAUAGCAUUAAUUAUAUUCCUAAUACUCCCUUGCGUCAUCCUAUAGAGCAAUGCACACGGGGUGCAGCCGUACAUAUGCAGGACAGCGCCUUCAUUACUGCAUUGUGUCCAACAGGUGGCAGCAGAGAGCUGCAGCGCUCCCGAGUGCUGUAAGGACUGCACGGAGAGAUGUGCGGGUCUUCACGGGAACAGCAAGGAACCGAAAGCUGCAUUUCCCGGGAUGCCCUGGAACCCCACUUUGCUGACUGGUAAUUGUCUGCCCAGCAGGUAAGGACAAUGCACACCCACCAGUGUUUACCGCUUACUCAGUGAGACACAAGGUGGAGUUCCCAGAGCUCCUUUCUGCACUUCAGGGUGCCCCGAAGGCUGCCCGUCCUAUUCUUUGCACGUUCUCCUUGGCUCUGGCCUUUCACCGUGGUGUUCUCCUUCCUUUUCCUUCCCUUUUCCCUUGGCGUUCCCUACUGCAUUCUCUUGCCCUCGUGUUUUUGCAUUCCAUGUCAUGUUCUCUUGGCCAUUGCCCUUGACUUUCUUGGCCACAUUCACUUCAACAUUCAGUUUUGGCGUUCCCUGCAGUGCUCUCUUGCCCUUCUGUUUUGGCGUUUCUUGUCGUGUUCUCUUGGCCAUUUCCUUGGCAUUUCCUUCCACAUUCUCUUGGCCCUUACCUAGGCGUUCCCUUGCCCUCCUGUUCUUGCGUUCCAUGCCACAUUCUCUUGGCUAUUGAACUUGUUUUUCUUCUGCCACGUUCUCUUCAGCAUUCAGUUUUGGCGUUCCCUGCAGUGUUCUCUUGCCCUCCUGUUUGGGCAUUUCCUGCGGCGUUCUCUUUGGCAUCAUGUUCUGCUGUUCCCAGCCACCUUCUCUCAGCCUUCUGCCUUGGCCUUCUUUGCCGUGUUCUCUUUGGCCUCCUGUUUUGGCACUUCCUGCCACGUUCUCUUAGCCCUUGCCCUGACCUGAGCAUUCCAUGCCGUGUUCCCUUGGCCUUCUGUUUUGGCAUUUUUUGCUGUCUUCUCUUGGCCUUUGCCCUUGGUUUUUCCUGCUGCUGUCUGCUCGCCCUCACCUUGGCUUUCCGUUGGGUGCUCUCCUUGCUUUUGCCCUUCCCUUCGCCUUGGCUGUUUGCUUUGCCUUUACCUUGGUUUUCCGUGGGAGUUCUGCUUGCCUUUUUUCUUUGGCUCUCUGGGAUUGGCUGGGAGGCAGCGUGAAUGUUAAUCUUGACCUGAACCCGUAGCUUAAUGUGAGCUCUAAUGAUAAUUAUGUUAACCCACAGUGUAUAUGUAAGCCGAACUAUUAAGCCAAUAUUAAAAACGUCUCUUAACCUAAAUGCUGCAAUAAAAAUAAUGCCGCUUGUUUUCUGUCACAGUACCCUUAAUCCUAAUCAUAGUGUGGAAAACAAUUGUUAAGCUAAUUGUCACUUCAAACCUAUGCAUAGCAUUAAUUAUAUUCCUAAUACUCCCUUGCGUCAUCCUAUAGAGCAAUGCACACGGGGUGCAGCCGUACAUAUGCAGGACAGCGCCUUCAUUACUGCAUUGUGUCCAACAGGUGGCAGCAGAGAGCUGCAGCGCUCCCGAGUGCUGUAAGGACUGCACGGAGAGAUGUGCGGGUCUUCACGGGAACAGCAAGGAACCGAAAGCUGCAUUUCCCGGGAUGCCCUGGAACCCCACUUUGCUGACUGGUAAUUGUCUGCCCAGCAGGUGGCAGCAGAGAGCUGCAGCGCUCCCGAGUGCUGUAAGGACUGCACGGAGAGAUGUGCGGGUCUUCACGGGAACAGCAAGGAACCGAAAGCUGCAUUUCCUGGGAUGCCCUGGAACCCCACUUUGCUGACUGGUAAUUGUCUGCCCAGCAGGUGGCAGCAGAGAGCUGCAGCGCUCCCGAGUGCUGUAAGGACUGCACGGAGAGAUGUGCGGGUCUUCACGGGAACAGCAAGGAACCGAAAGCUGCAUUUCCUGGGAUGCCCUGGAACCCCACUUUGCUGACUGGUAAUUGUCUGCCCAGCAGGUGGCAGCAGAGAGCUGCAGCGCUCCCGAGUGCUGUAAGGACUGCACGGAGAGAUGUGCGGGUCUUCACGGGAACAGCAAGGAACCGAAAGCUGCAUUUCCUGGGAUGCCCUGGAACCCCACUUUGCUGACUGGUAAUUGUCUGCCCAGCAGGUGGCAGCAGAGAGCUGCAGCGCUCCCGAGUGCUGUAAGGACUGCACGGAGAGAUGUGCGGGUCUUCACGGGAACAGCAAGGAACCGAAAGCUGCAUUUCCUGGGAUGCCCUGGAACCCCACUUUGCUGACUGGUAAUUGUCUGCCCAGCAGGCAGGUCUUCAAUGAAGAUAUUGGACAGAACAGGCCUGAAGAGCACUCAGGAUGGCAUACCAGCUGCUUUUAACACAAUGGAGCAGCACUCAUUAGGCCAGCCGGUUCAGCUACUUCUUCAUCUAGCAAGCAAUGUACCCGUCCAAGUAGCCGGCUGCAAUCUUUGAGAGAAUUUCAAGGGAUAGCACAUCAAAGGCUUUGCCUCACUCAUGGGGUUGGGUCACUGCUUUGAGUGUGCUAGCGUGGCUGACCAUAAUCCUGUAACUGACAUCCUGUAGCUGGACAGAGACCAUUUGCACUCCAUCCUGGCUGUUUAAGACUCACGGCCAUGCUGAGAGUCACACUGAUUUCAGCGUGUGCAGUCAUUUUGCAUCAACCCAAUUAGCUUUACAAAUAAUUUGUCUCAACCAAAUUGGUUUUAGCUUUGCAGUUAAUGCAUUGCAAAUAUGUUGGCUUUAGCUUUGCCUUGCUUACGGGGUUGGGUUAGCUUUGCUUUGUUUGUUUGUACCGCAGGGCUAACCCAACCCCGUAACCAACAUCUGAGGCCAUCGGAGCCCAUUUGCGCUCCUUCCUGGCCAGUCUGAGACUCGUGCCCCUUUGCGGCCAUUCUGAGAGUUGCGCUGAUUUUGGCAGGUGCAGUCAAUUGAUCUUGCCCAAAUUGCCUUUAGCUUUGCAAUGAAUUGAUCUCAACCAAAUUGGCUUUAGCUUUGCAAUCAGUUGAUCUCAACCAAAUUGGUUUUAGCUUUGCAAUCAAUUGAUCUCAGCCAAAUUGGCUUUAGCUUUGCCUUGCUUACGGGGUUGGGUUAGCUUUGCUUUCUUUGUUUGUACCGCAGGGCUAACCCAACCCCGUAACCAAUGCCCGAGGCCAUCGGAGCCCAUUUGCGCUCCUUCCCAGCCAGUCUGAGACUCGCGCCCCUUUGUGGCCAUUCUGAGAGUUGCGCCAAUUUUGGCAGGUGCAGUCAAUUGAUCUUGCCCAAAUUGGCUUUAGCUUUGCAAUCAAUUGAUCUUGCCCAAAUUGGCUUUAGCUUUGCAAACAAUUGAUCUCAGCCAAAUUGCCUUAGCUUUGCCUUGCUUACGGGGUUGGGUUAGCUUUGCUUUGUUUGUUUGUACCGCAGGGCUAACCCUAACCCCGUAACCAAUGCCUGAGGCCAUCGGAGCCCAUUUUUGCUUUUUCCUGGCUUGUCUGAGGCUUGCAUUUACUUCAGGUGGGCUGAGAUCUGCUCUACUGUUGAGGUGGGUUGCAGUACAAAAUAUUAGUGUAAAUGUAAUGUUAUUUAUUGGAUGUGGAGGCUUUGUGACCUUUGUCUUGUGAGUCUGACAUAUAACACAUAUGUAAACCAUACCUUAAAAUGUAUGGAGUACGUGGGUGCUGCGUCUGUAAACGGUGUCUUGGAAUUGUAUGGAAUCAGUGUACCUAUGUUUUGUUUGUCAACAUGUAGGCAUUGCUGUAGUGUGCAUACAAUUGUACGAGUCACAUCUUGAGGAAACAGUGUUGUAAUAAACAAAUACUUGUGCAAUCUAA